rnacentral:tmRNA from 1 species
GGGGAUGUAUUUGGUUUUCGACAAUAUCCCAGAAGCAUAUAAAGCGAGUAGUGGAUGGCUGCUUCGGCCACUAUAAAAAAGCAGAAUAAAAAUAAACGCUGAUAAUACAGAAUUAGCUUACGCUGCCUAAGAUAGGCGGCCCGUCUUCUCUUUAGAGGCCUACGGCUUUAGAAAAGGCGUCGAAUUAGUAGGAAACAAAACUAUUUUUGCUAUGGAAAUAGUGGGUAUUCAAUAGCUACUUUAAAUUUGCAUUUGUUUGUUAAUACAAAUUUAGAGGAAUAAUAAUAACAAACUGCACUCGGAGAAAUAUAUGUGGAAAGAAUAUUGGACAGGGGUUCGACUCCCCUCAUCUCCACCA